rnacentral:rRNA from 1 species
ACUCAAAUGAAUAGACGGGGACCCGCACAAGCGGUGGAUGAUGUUCUUUAAUUCGAUGCAACGCGAAAAACCUUACCCACCUUUGACAUGGUAGGAACUUUCCAGAGAUGGAUUGGUGCUCGAAAGAGAACCUACACACAGGUGCUGCAUGGCUGUCGUCAGCUCGUGUCGUGAGAUGUUGGGUUAAGUCCCGCAACGAGCGCAACCCUUAUCAUUAGUUGCUACGCAAGGGCACUCUAAUGAGACUGCCGGUGAUAAACCGGAGGAAGGUGGGGAUGACGUCAAGUCCUCAUGGCCCUUAUAGGUGGGGCUAGAAACGUCAUACAAUGGCUGGUACAAAGGGUUGCCAACCCGCGAGGGGGAGCUAAUCUCAUAAACCCAGUCGUAGUCCGGAUCGCAGUCUGCAACUCGACUGCGUGAAGUCGGAAUCGCUAGUAAUCGUGGAUCAGCAUGUCACGGUGAAUACGUUCCCGGGUCUUGCACACACCGCCCGU